rnacentral:tRNA from 1 species
GGCCAGGUAGCUCAGUUGGUAGAGCAGCGGACUGAAAAUCCGCGUGUCGGCGGUUCAACUCCGUCCCUGGGCACCA